CAAGCUAGAGUGUNUCAGAGGGGGGUAGAAUUCCACGUGUAGCAGUGAAAUGCGUAGAGAUGUGGAGGAAUACCGAUGGCGAAGGCAGCCCCCUGGGAUAACACUGACGUUCAUGCUCGAAAGCGUGGGUAGCAAACAGGAUUAGAUACCCUGGUAGUNCACGCCCUAAACGAUGUCAAUUAGCUGUUGGGCAACUUGAUUGCUUAGUAGCGUAGCUAACGCGUGAAAUUGACCGCCUGGGGAGUACGGUCGCAAGAUUAAAACUCAAAGGAAUUGACGGGGACCCGCACAAGCGGUGGAUGAUGUGGAUUAAUUCGAUGCAACGCGAAGAACCUUACCUGGUCUUGACAUGUACGGAAUCUCUCAGAGACGGGAGAGUGCCUUCGGGAACCGUAACACAGGUGCUGCAUGGCUGUCGUCAGCUCGUGUCGUGAGAUGUUGGGUUAAGUCCCGCAACGAGCGCAUCCCUUGUCAUUAGUUGCCAUCAUUUAGUUGGGCACUCUAAUGAGACUGCCGGUGACAAACCGGAGGAAGGUGGGGAUGACGUCAAGUCCUCAUGGCCCUUAUGACCAGGGCUUCACACGUCAUACAAUGGUCGGUACAGAGGGUCGCCAAGCCGCGAGGUGGAGCCAAUCUCACAAAACCGAUCGUAGUCCGGAUUGCACUCUGCAACUCGAGUGCAUGAAGUCGGAAUCGCUAGUAAUCGCAGGUCAGCAUACUGCGGUGAAUACGUUCCCGGGUCUUGUACACACC
rnacentral:rRNA from 1 species